UUCCUAUCGAGCCAUUCCGAAUGCCAUGUGUAACACGGGUGGGAAAUAAGCCAUAUUUCCUCUCAUGACAUCUCCUCAUAUUACCUGCGCCGUUUCCACGUUUAAUCUCGCGAGUUUAACACACGCGCUCACGUGACCCGCUGCAGCCAAUCACGCUCUAUAAAAUCUAGCAUUCCGAGAUGGCUGCCAGGUGCGGUGGCUAAGCCUGGGGACAUAUGAAGCCGGUGCCAAACAUCAGGGACGUGUUGCGACGAGAGAGUGUGUCGAUGAUAAGAUAUUAAGCCGAGUUGGCCAGGUCCCUAAGUCUUGGAUGGCGAGCUGUAGAUAGGCCUCGAGCCUGAGCCCAAGGAUCUCCACCUCUCAACCCCUGAACUCCACGUGCUCUGGUCGGGCCGGUAGGCGGCUUAUAGCCGAACCCCUUGCCUCGCACCUCAUUGCUCUGCGGCCCUUUGCACUACCUCAUACACACCCUGCCCAUAAACUGAACUCUCACUACAAACUGCCAUACCCACAACCCCAAACCGUGUGGCUGUAUGAACUCUGAAUGCGCAUAUGGACUGCGAUCAGUCUCAUAUGACCUUUUAAGAACUUUUGAUACUACCUGUUAUGAAUUACCUGAAUCCUUGCUGUUUUUUUCUUUUGUUUUGAAUGGCCAUUCCUAUCAAUGUAUGUCCACUAUUUGUUGCACUGUACAUAUUUAAAUAACACCAGUAUAAUUUAAAGCAUUUAAUUGUGUCUGUCCUACUCUCUCCGAGUCGUAAUCUAGACUUCUGAUUAGCCCAAAUAUUGAGAACGUCUACUAUAAUAGCUAACGUACCUGUUACACAUGCGCGAGGCUAUUUAUAGCACCGCUGCCAAGCACGAGGCACCAGUUGCCAUUGUUUCCAAACGAGCGAACGAUCAUGGAAUC